AAAUUUUGGAUUAUUGUGCAUCAUUCAACAAGCCUCCCACUUCGUCUAAAUAAACCCUAGAAAUUGAAUUCAAAUCCUUGUAGUAGUAAGUCGAAGAGUCACCAAAAUGGCGCUAACCAACUUCAUACUGACAGUGGCAGGAGUUAGCGCAGUGAUACUGUUGAUGAGGAGCGAUGUGAAACAAUCGGCUUCAAUUUUCCGGCGCAACGUCCGCCAAAUUCGCCACUGGCUUGAGCAAGAAUCCGCCUCCGCCGCCAAGGAAAUGGAGAAUGCAAAACCGAAGGAGUUACCAAAGAAAGACCUCCCCAAGGAGGACAAGCACUAGGUCUUGCCAUAGAAUUUUAGAUUUUUUUUGUUUUUUUGUUUUUUUGUUUUUUUUGGAAAUAUAAGAAUUUUGGAGUUAAUAUUAGGGACUGAUGUCUAUCAUUUGGUUUUCUUUUGAAUUUGAUCAGGUUUCCUGACAUGUAUAAAGUCAUACUCGUGUUCUUGUAUACUUCAGUCCAGAAGACUUGUUAUGUUACCUCUUUUGCAUUGUGACAUAAAGCUGUGGUGAGCAACAAUUCUCUGUGGCACAAAGCAUUGGAUGAAAUAGUUUUGCAGAGAUACAAAUAAAUCUAGAAAAUGCCCUCAGCUCUGCUUUUAGUGUUAUUAUCACAAGUUGAACUUUUUUCUACUAUACAUUUUCUUUAGUUGA